GAGCUGUGAUGAUUAUUGGUUUAAAUGAUGGUUGGGUCCAUCGCAUUCUUCUGAAAACUCGGAUGUCAUUGCCAUGUUGCAGAGCUC
rnacentral:snoRNA from 2 species